rnacentral:misc_RNA from 1 species
GAUGAAGAACGUAGCGAAAUGCGAUAAGUAAUGUGAAUUGCAGAAUUCAGUGAAUCAUCGAAUCUUUGAACGCACAUUGCGCCCAUUAGUAUUCUAGUGAGCAUGCCUGUUCGAGCGUCAUUUCAACCCUUAAGCCUAGCUUAGUAUUGGGAAUCGACUUUACUGUCGUUCCUCAAAUUCAACGGCGGAUUUAUAGCAAUCUCUGAACGUAGUAAUUUUUUUUCUCGUUUUUGAAAUACUAUAAACCUCAGCCGCUAAACCCCCAAUUUCUUAUGGUUGACCUCGGAUCAGGUAGGAAUACCCGCUGAACUUAAGCAUAUCAAUAAGCGGAGGA